rnacentral:rRNA from 1 species
UACGAAGGGGGCUAGCGUUGUUCGGAAUUACUGGGCGUAAAGCGCACGUAGGCGGAUUUGUUAGUCAGGGGUGAAAUCCCGGGGCUCAACCUCGGAACUGCCUUUGAUACUGCAAGUCUUGAGUCCGGAAGAGGUGAGUGGAAUUCCUAGUGUAGAGGUGAAAUUCGUAGAUAUUAGGAAGAACACCAGUGGCGAAGGCGGCUCACUGGUCCGGUACUGACGCUGAGGUGCGAAAGCGUGGGGAGCAAACAGG